CCUACGGGAGGCAGCAGUGGGGGAUAUUGCACAAUGGGGGAAACCCUGAUGCAGCGACGCCGCGUGGGUGAAGAAGCGCCUCGGCGCGUAAAGCCCUGUCAGCAGGGAAGAAAAUGACGGUACCUGAAGAAGAAGCCCCGGCUAACUACGUGCCAGCAGCCGCGGUAAUACGUAGGGGGCAAGCGGUAGCCGGAUUUACUGGGGGUAAAGGGGGCCGAGACGGGGAUGCAAGCCAGGAGGGAAAGCCCGGGGCCCAACCCCGGGACUGCUCUUGGAACUGCGUGGCUAGAGUGCAGGAGGGGUAGGCGGAAUUCCUGGUGUAGCGGUGAAAUGCGUAGAUAUCAGGAAGAACACCGGUGGCGAAGGCGGCCUGCUGGACUGCAACUGACGUUGAGGCCCGAAAGCGUGGGGAGCAAACAGGAUUAGAUACCCGUGUAGUC
rnacentral:rRNA from 1 species